UACGACUACAUAUCAGGCAUAUCAAUAAGCGGAGGAAAAGAAACUAACAAGGAUUCCCUUAGUAACGGCGAGUGAAGCGGGAAGAGCUCAAAUUUGAAAUCUUCAAGGUUCUACCUUGACGAAUUGUAGUUUAAAGAAGUGUUUUCUGUUGAAGUUUUGGUAAAAGUUCUUUGGAAUAGGACAUCAUAGAGGGUGAGAAUCCCGUAUUUGACCGUUACUUUCCAGCUGUGUGAUACACUUUCAAAGAGUCGGAUUGUUUGGGAAUGCAGUCCAAAAUGGGUGGUAAAUUUCAUCUAAAGCUAAAUAUUGGCGAGAGACCGAUAGCGAACAAGUACCGUGAGGGAAAGAUGAAAAGAACUUUGAAAAGAGAGUUAAACAGUACGUGAAAUUGUCAAAAGGGAAGCGUUUGACACCAGUGUUGUUUUCUCGAAAAUCAAUUAAAAAUGGCUUGAUUUUGUGUUGUAUUGACCUUAAAAGCUUUCUUCACUUUUUUCAUGUCUAUUUUUAAUGCACUUUUCGUUUAACAAGUCAACAUCAGUUUCUUUUGUUGUAAAAAGGUCAUUGGAAGGUGGCUUUCUUUUCGGAGAAAGUGUUUAUAGCCUUUGACUCCUGCAAUCGGAGAGACUGAGGUCCGCAGCGUAGAUCCUUCUUGGAUUAGAUUCAUUUGUGCUAAGUUAUAGCUUUUCAUAGACAACUUGUUGACUAUGUUUAGUCUUGUAGCUUACUCGCUUAUGUAAUUUUACCUACGCUUAGGAUGUUGAACGCGCACAGAGUCUC
rnacentral:rRNA from 1 species